rnacentral:rRNA from 2 species
GAGUAAUGUAUAGGAAUCUACCUAGUAGUACGGAAUAAUUGUUGGAAACGGCAACUAAUACCGUAUACGCCCUACGGGGGAAAAAUUUAUUGCUAUUAGAUGAGCCUAUAUUAGAUUAGUUAGUUGGUGAGGUAAAGGCUUACCAAGACAAUGAUCUAUAGCUGAUCUGAGAGGAUGAUCAGCCACACUGGAACUGAGAUACGGUCCAGACUCCUACGGGAGGCAGCAGUGGGGAAUAUUGGACAAUGGGCGAAAGCCUGAUCCAGCCAUGCCGCAUGAGUGAAGAAGGCCUUCGGGUUGUAAAGCUCUUUUAGUGAGGAAGAUAAUGACGGUACUCACAGAAGAAGUCCUGGCUAACUCCGUGCCAGCAGCCGCGGUAAUACGGAGAGGGCUAGCGUUAUUCGGAAUCAUUGGGCGUAAAGGGCGCGUAGGCGGGUUAGUAAGUUAAAAGUGAAAUCCCAAGGCUCAACCUUGGAACUGCUUUUAAAACUGCUAGUCUAGAGAUUGAAAGAGGAUAGAGGAAUUCCUAGUGUAGAGAUGAAAUUCGUAAAUAUUANGAGGAACACCAGUGGCGAANGCGUCUAUCUGGUUCAAAUCUGACGCUGAGGCGCGAANGNGUGGGG